rnacentral:lncRNA from 1 species
UAAUCCACUCCUGAAUCACUUUCGUACCCCUUGACAGAUUCAUGGCAAGGCACAUAUCAGGUGCAUUACACAGCAUAUCAUACUAUAGAGCAUAUGGCUAAUGCAUAGGGGACAACCUUCGUCCUUUCUCUUUCUUCUGUCAUGGUCGGGCUUUGAUUCUUCCUCGAAUUCACACCUUACAACACAGCUAAGAACUCCUUCUUUGCCGAUCUAUUUUGAACUCCUUCAAAAACUUAUCAAGGCAUGCAUUUCGUUGAAAGUUCUAUUAAGCAUUUUGAUCUAUCUCCAUAGAUCUUGAUGCUCAAUGUACAAGUAGCUCAAUCCAGGUUUUCCUUUGAAAAACUCCUUUCAAACAACCCUUUAUGCUUUCCAAAAAUUCUACAUUAUUUCCGAUCAACAAUAUGUCAACCACAUAUACUUAUCAGAAAUUCUAUAAUGCUCCCACUCAAUUCUUUGGAAAUACAAGUUUCU